GCGUCGCCGCCAUUUUUUAAAGGGUCCGCAGCCUGACUCUGCCAAGUAAGGGGGGGUGGGGCGGGUGAGUCGGCCUCGCCAGUGCACAUGCGCGAGGCCCGAGCCGCCGCUUUGGUCACAGUGACCGCCACCGUUGCCAGGGGAUGGGUCCCUGAGACUUGGCGAAGUAGGAGCCCUGUGUGAUCGUGCGUCAGAGUCGGGGCUGAGACCAGUCCUGGCCAGGGCAGUUACCAGGACGGUCUCCGGAGGCCGGGAUUCGCGGAGGGUCCACCAGCAGGAAGAAACUCCAGGAGGAAGAAACCUCAGACAGAUCGCCAGGGAGGCAGCGCGGGAUCCCAGCCUCAGGCGUGCGCGGACGGUGUGCCGAGAGGUAGAAGCAAGAGAAGCAUAAACAUAUAAUUUCAAUGCAAUAUGGUCCAGCUAUGCAUCACCCCUUCGCUGAUGAGCCUUAAGAAAAUCCAAAUUUAUAAAUUGCUGGGUCCAUCUCUCUUGCCAUCCAGAAAAGUCAGAGCAACUGGUCUUGCUGGUUUUAAGUGUUGUCUGUGUUUCUGGCAUUGGUCACAAAGCCUAUUGCCUGCUAAUUGGCAAGUGGACCUGUUUCUCUAACAAUGGCCCGAAACUUCACAACAUCAAAGGAGAAAUCAUUGCCAGCAAAAGCAUUUCCGGGUAGUAGGAAAGAAUACAAGUGAAUAACAUUAGUCCAGAAGUUUUAAUAAUAUUCUUUGCUGGUUGAAAUUCAUGUUUAACAUGAUGUAAAUUACUUGAUAAGCAAAUUAAGAACUAUGCUACUACAGACUCCAAAUAAGACGCAAGAAAAAUGAGGGGAAAUACAUUAAAGGAAGAUCUUAAAAAACA